AUUGAACGCUGGCGGCAUGCUUUACACAUGCAAGUCGAACGGUAACAGGGUGCUUGCACCGCUGACGAGUGGCGAACGGGUGAGUAAUGCGUCGGAACGUGCCGAGUAGUGGGGGAUAACGCAGCGAAAGUUGUGCUAAUACCGCAUACGUACUGAGGUAGAAAGUGGGGGACCUUCGGGCCUCACGCUAUUCGAGCGGCCGACGUCUGAUUAGCUAGUAGGUGAGGUAAAGGCUCACCUAGGCGACGAUCAGUAGCGGGUCUGAGAGGAUGAUCGGCCACACUGGGACUGAGACACGGCCCAGUCUCCUACGGGAGGCAGCAGUGGGGAAUUUUGGACAAGGGGCGAAAGCCUGAUCCAGCCAUGCCGCGUGUCUGAAGAAGGCCUUCGGGUUGUAAAGGACUUUUGUCGGGGAGGAAAUCCCCAGCGUUAAUACCGCUGGGGGAUGACAGUACCUGAAGAAUAAGCACCGGCUAACUACGUGCCAGCCGCCGCCGUAA
rnacentral:rRNA from 1 species